CAGCAUGGUUCAAGCUAGCGAAAGCAGGCAUGUCCAUUGCAGCAUCUAAUAAAACUAAUCUAAAGGAGCUUAACUAAGCUUUAUACCAAAAACCAAAUUCACAACGAUGGAUAUCUUGGUUCCCAUAACGAUGAAGAACGCAGCGAAGUGCGAUAAGCAGUGCGAAUUGCAGAACCGUGAGUCAUCAGAUUUUUGAACGCAAAUGGCGCCAGUUGGCAAUCCAGCUGGCAUGCUUGUUUCAGUGUCUUGUUUUCUCCUAACCCAAAUCUUAAUGUGAGAGAUACCCUUCUCUUACUAAGUAUGAAAGCACUCUGUACUCUGCAGGCAUCCUUGAUUCGUCGAGGGUUGCACUCAAUGCAGCAGUCACAUUUUAUAUGUGAACUCAUUGAGAGUUGAGACAGUGCAGUUAAUCUGCUAGUGCUUAGAUCUCUAAACUUUACUUGCAUCUGAAAUCAAGCAGGACCACCCGCUGAACUUAAGCAUAUCAAUAAGCGGAGGACACGUCUAAACUUUCGACCUGAGCUCAGGCAAGGCUACCCGCUGAACUUAAGCAUAUCAAUAAGCGGAGGAA
rnacentral:rRNA from 1 species